rnacentral:rRNA from 1 species
UACGGGGGGGGCAAGCGUUGUCCGGAAUCAUUGGGCGUAAAGCGCGUGUAGGCGGCCCGGAAAGUCGGAUGUGAAAACCUGGGGCUCAACCCCAGGCGUGCACCCGAUACUCCCGGGCUGGAGGCAGGUAGGGGAGAUCGGAAUUCCUGGUGUAGCGGUGAAAUGCGCAGAUAUCAGGAGGAACACCGGUGGCGAAGGCGGAUCUCUGGGCCUUGCCUGACGCUGAGGCGCGAAAGCUAGGGGAGCGAACAGG